GCCAAGUACGUGUUUCGUCUCGAACACUGAAAAAGACGGCUUCUUUUUGUCGCCGGCUAAGAAAGAGGCGGCUUGAAUGGGCGUCCUACGAUCUAGUUACUACCAUAGGUAGCGCUAGUCAUAGACGGGUGCUUCCCAAAGAGCUAUGAGCCAAACGACUGUGUCAUCCGAGGGUGUCGGAUAGGCACAGUCAGGCCAGAGUCUCCAGGGGGGCAUCUCAAUCCCAGGGAGGAAUUUAUUUUGUUUACAGGGAGGGUGUGCGUUAACCAUGCCCAGGUUCCAAGCAUGCUAUGGACUCAGGGACAGAGUCUCAUAGGGAGUGCCCCGGACAACCCGUGUCUACUGGCGAUUUUCGUCUUUCGACACGACGCUACAACCCAGUCAGUUUCAAACCAACUUUCAAUCACCCUUCACGUCCCAAGAGGGGAAUUUGAUUGCACAGAGACGAAACCAGACUAGCGUCACUCACGUUUUCGGCGGAACCGGUUCGUGAGAUUUACUUUUUUACUUUUUAUCGAUGAUAAUUUUGGCACUGGUGAUGUUGGAGCAUAGGAGAUGGUGCUCUUGGUGGUGGAAGGGAGGAGUGGAUUUGGGG
rnacentral:misc_RNA from 1 species